GAUCAUGGCUCAGGAUGAACGCUAGCUACAGGCUUAACACAUGCAAGUCGAGGGGAAACGACGUCGAAAGUCUUGCUUUUGAUGGGCGUCGACCGGCGCACGGGUGAGUAACGCGUAUCCAACCUGCCCACCACUUGGGGAUAACCGUUGCGAAAGUAAGACUAAUACCCAAUGACAUCCCACGAAGAACAUCUGAAUGGGAUUAAAGAUUUAUCGGUGAUGGAUGGGGAUGCGUCUGAUUAG
rnacentral:rRNA from 1 species